GAUGAACGCUGGCGGCGUGCCUAAUACAUGCAAGUCGAGCGAACAGAUGAGGAGCUUGCUCCUCUGACGUUAGCGGCGGACGGGUGAGUAACACGUGGAUAACCUACCUAUAAGACUGGGAUAACUUCGGGAAACCGGAGCUAAUACCGGAUAAUAUAUUGAACCGCAUGGUUCAAUAGUGAAAGACGGUUUUGCUGUCACUUAUAGAUGGAUCCGCGCCGCAUUAGCUAGUUGGUAAGGUAACGGCUUACCAAGGCAACGAUGCGUAGCCGACCUGAGAGGGUGAUCGGCCACACUGGAACUGAGACACGGUCCAGACUCCUACGGGAGGCAGCAGUAGGGAAUCUUCCGCAAUGGGCGAAAGCCUGACAGAGCAACGCCGCAUGAGUGAUGAAGGUCUUCGGAUCGUAAAACUCUGUUAUUAGGGAAGAACAAAUGUGUAAGUAACUAUGCACGUCUUGACGGUACCUAAUCAGAAAGCCACGGCUAACUACGUG
rnacentral:rRNA from 1 species